UACGGGGGGGGCAAGCGUUGUUCGGAAUUACUGGGCGUAAAGGGCUCGUAGGCGGCCUUCUAAGUCAGACGUGAAAUCCCUCGGCUUAACCGGGGAACUGCGUCUGAUACUGGAUGGCUUGAGGUUGGGAGAGGGAUGCGGAAUUCCAGGUGUAGCGGUGAAAUGCGUAGAUAUCUGGAGGAACACCGGUGGCGAAGGCGGCAUCCUGGACCAAUUCUGACGCUGAGGAGCGAAAGCCAGGGGAGCAAACGGG
rnacentral:rRNA from 1 species